rnacentral:misc_RNA from 1 species
GAUGAAGAACGUAGCGAAACGCGAUAUGUAAUGUGAAUUGCAGAAUUCAGUGAAUCAUCGAAUCUUUGAACGCACAUUGCGCCCGCUGGUAUUCCGGCGGGCAUGCCUGUUCGAGCGUCAUUUCAACCCUCAAGCCCCCGGGUUUGGUGUUGGGGAUCGGCUCUGCCCUUCUGGGCGGUGCCGCCCCCGAAAUACAUUGGCGGUCUCGCUGCAGCCUCCAUUGCGUAGUAGCUAACACCUCGCAACUGGAACGCGGCGCGGCCAUGCCGUAAAACCCCAACUUCUGAAUGUUGACCUCGGAUCAGGUAGGAAUACCCGCUGAACUUAAGCAUAUCAAUAAGCGGAGGA